GGAGGGCCGGGGUACGCCGCCCAGCCGCCCGCCCCGCCUGGCUGCGGCGCGGAGCUCCGGGGAAAGACCGUCGUGUUUGAACGGGGACAGGCGGCCGUGCGUGCGGGCAGCGCGGCGCUGGCACCCACGGGAGCAGGCGGCCUCGGUGCCGGGCUCCGGAGCGGAUGCCGAAGCCCAUGUGCACAGUGUUAACCCCGGGUAGGGAGCGGAAAGAGGGUAUAGAGCGGUCCUUACAAACCCGUGUGCAGGUGUGACUGGAAAAAAGAAAGGGAGCGGCCACCUUUUAUUGGGCACUGAAGCUCCUGAAUUAUAAGUAGCAAUAACUAGAUCGCCUUAACACUGGGUUAGUUGGUUUCUUUUUUCCUCUGGUGCGGCAUAUUGUGCGUUAUCGUGUAAGCCGUGCCGAUGCGUCCGGGGCACGGCAGAGCGUGGCUGCCAGAGUGGCAUCGGUGCCCAGUGUUCCUGCUCUCCUGGCAGCCGCUGCUGCAGCCCGCCUGGCUUCCCGGGAGGUCUCCCUGGGGCCGGGAGUGAGAAAAGCAAACUCUCAAGUUGUGCCCGGAGAAAAGUUGCCCGACUGGGAGUGUCGGGGGAUCCUGAGAGUCGGCACGCACCCGCUCCUGCUUGGUGCUGAGUUCUUUUCUGGUUCUUCUGCAAAUCCAGGGGAAGGGCAGGCUUUGCCUAGGAAGCUUGCCGUAGUCAUAUGGAGACAAGUGGAAAAAGAAAACAACACGUCUUCUGAGUGGCAUCUCGCCUUGUUCUGUCUUCUCCUCUCCUGGCCAGAGCUGGAAGAGAGGAUGAGGACGGCCGGAGCAGUGCUGGUGCCAGUUCUCCCCACUCGUAGCCUCUCCUCAAGAAACACGCCUGUGUCAUCGUGGUGAAGAACCAAACCCAACAAAAGUUGAAUCUCUGUCGAAGGGGGGUCCGGGGGCGCCGAGCCCGGCGGCUCCUGCUCGCGGAGUGCUCGGCGGCGGCGGAGCGCUCGCCGCGGCUUGGAUUUGACCUGCAGAGGGCAAUAGUUGGACGCAAAUGCCAACAAAGGCGGCGGGGCUCGCUGGCUCGGCGCCGCGGCCGGGACCCGAGAAUGCUGUGUAGCCCACAUUCAUCUGAGAGGCGAUCGCCGGGGACAUGGGAAGCAAGAGCAGCCGCCGAUGUGUGAAAGCAACGAGACAUGGCCAGCCAGAGGCGCCGGGGUCCCUUCAUGGGGUUUGUUAACAUGGUAAUCCGGCACCAGGAGAGAAAGCUGCUUUCUGCUGCCCAGAGCCCAUUCCCCAUCACACAUCAGAUGACUCCCUGGUUUUACACACAGUUGGAGUUCUGCUCGAAACCUGGAUUUAAAGGGAAUCUGUUGCUGCGUAUGACAUCUCUUGCAAGCUCCCAGAGAGAAUUGAUGGAGCAUACAGCUAGGGAAUAGGAUACCAGAGAAGCACAGAGGAAGAAACCAGGCAAUCACCAGGAUGGAAAGGUUCAGCGUCCAUUGGAUAUGGGACAAGAUCGCUCGGCAACCCUUGUGGAUUCUCCUUCUUCUAGAGGCGAAUUAUAGUUAUGGAUUUAUUGUCCCAGUGCCGCACUUCCACCACCACCACCAACAACAGCAGCAGCUUUCUGACUCUCUUCGGUGACGGGUAUUCUUGGGUGGAUAAUACGGAUUACGUUGUUAUUGCUUAAGAAUACGCGUAGUCGAGGAGAGUACCGGCGGCGGGCAGGCAGGCAGGCAGCGCGACCGCCCCCAGCCCACCAGCUGGCUCCUCACCUCCUCUAGUUGCCAAGGUAGCACCUUUUCCAUCUUUUCCUACGCUUUGCAAUGUUUCACUCUGUGUCUAUGCCCGGGCGGGGGGAGCUCGGACGCCCUCUCUUGAGGAAGGGGGUGCCCGCUGUGUGUGUGUGUGCGUGGGAGCAAGCCCAGGGCUGGGGAGGGCCGGGUAAAGGCUGGCCAAGCUCCGCGGGUAGGGGGUGACCGGGAGAGCCACGGCCGCUGCGGGGAGCGCAUCCGCGGGCAGCGCUCGGCAGGCGGGGGGAAGGCGCUCUGCCCGUCCGGACAGCCCCCGUGUCCCGGCACUCGGCCGGCAGCUCCCAGCCCACGCCACCCGCAGCCCCUCGCUGCUCGCCUGCCGGGGGUCCCUCCCCGCGGGACACGGAGUGCCCGCAGGGCCGGGGCGGCCCCGGCUCUGCCCGCACACGCUGGCAGAGCCUGGGCUGCCGCCCCCUCGGUGGCCACGGCCCCCGCACCCACAGCAGCCGAGUCAUGCGGGGCUGGGGGUGCUCGCGGGCGGGGAGGUGCCGAGCACCCGUGCUAGCGAGGCGAGGGGCACCUCGCACGGCCGCAGAGCGCCCGACUCCCGGGGAAGUCCCUCUUCCCCGGCUGCCGAGGUGUUCGGCCACCCAGCGGGGCCGCUACUGGCAAAGAGGUUGUGGACGGUUGCUUUCAGGGAGAGUCAUGAUCCUCUUACCUCCUUGUCCUCACCCUGCAGUACCAACCUAGUGAAGGCAGGAUUAAGAAUCCACUUCACACCAGUCCCAGCCCAAUGUAGAGUUUGUCAGCUUCUGAGACCCCAGGUUGAGACACAUGUUCAGGGCAAGAGCUGAGGGAUUGUUUUGCCCUUUGCAGCUCAGGUGGUGGCUUAUUUGCCCCUCUCCCAAGAGCUCAGGACUCCCUAAAUGCUGUUUGCAGCUGGACUGGUGGGAAACACGACCAACGGAGUGUUGAUUCUCCUUGUUGGCCAAGACAUGCCCCAUUGCUUUAACAUAGAAGAGGUUCAUCUGAUCCUCUCUCCAAUCUCAGCAGCAGGGUACAGGCUUUGAUUAAAGCCUGGUUAGUCUUUAAAUGCUGUGCUUAGGAAAAUCUUAGGCAUAGCAUUCAUAGUUCCAGUCUUUUUUCCCCUGCUCCUCUGCUCACAAGAGUGGCAGAGAAAAGGAGCAGGGUGUGAUCAUCCCUGUUUUCCCAUUUGAGACCUCUCCACAUCCCCAGAUGAUUCCAGGUCUUUUUGCCACGUAGUCACAAUUGUGAGACCAGAUUUCAACCUUAAAUGAAUUAGAUCAGAAGCCAUUUUAAAGCAAGACCAGGAUUACUGUGAUGAGACAGCCUUUUUGAAUGGAUCCUUCCUGAAGCUCAGCUAUGAUGAGGCUAGGAACGAUUUUUAAUGUGGACAAGAUAGACAUGGGAUGAUUGUUAAGUUGUGAGUGCGAGGCGGGAUGAUGGAGAAUGUCUUUCUCUCUGUCUCUUGCUUAGAGAUUGAAAGGCUGUCUAUGUUCUGCCUAAUUAUUUCCAACAACUGCCAAAGGAAUCUUACUCUGUUGCCUUCAGUAGCAAGUGGAGCGCUACUUGUUAUACAGACGUGUGGAUCUGUUAUUCUUUAGACACAUCUUUGAUGCUAGCACUCUGAUCCUUGUGUUCCUCUAAUACCACUUGAAAGCAGAUUUUUUCUUCUAGUUUAGUAUGUUCAACAGCCUCAGAAACAAUGUUAAAUUAUGCUUUAAAAAGACAUGAUCAGCUGCUAAAUCAUAGUCAGUUCAGCACCAUAACACAGCCACAUUCACAAGUGCUGCAGGAACAGCGAUGGAAAUACUAUUUAAACAUCCAGGUUUGUAUUACAAACCUUCCUCUGAUCUGAGCUUUUAGUUGACAUUUUCCCUUGAGUCAUGCUUAGAGUAUUAUUAGGAGUUCCCAUUUCAUCACGUAAAGGAUUUGUUUGCUCUUUGCUUGGUUGAGUACCUUGUGCAGUAUGGAUUGGACUGGUACCCAUAAAUACAAGCUUAGCAAAUGGUUCUUUUACUUGCUUUCUUCUAGUUGCUUUCUGUUUAGCAUGAUGAGAUGGUUUUGCUGAAUAAUGCCUUAAUGACAGGGCUGAUGCAUUUUUAAUGCAUGUACUCUUUGUCAUUGUCAAAAUUAACAUUUUGAUGAUUGUAGACUUCUCUUCACUAAAAUCUUUUGGGAAUUGCUAUGCUAUGUGGGUUAAAAGAGUUAAAGUGUAAGAUUUGAUGUGAGAAAUACUGGAUAUGCUUACCAAAAUUAUUCUAAAAUAUUGUAUAAGGGCUCUUGGAAUGAUGCUUCCCAAUAGCAUGAUCUCAGAGGGGCUCCCCCUGUUCAUUAGCAGUUCCUGGGGUCUGUCACAUAUGCAUAUUUCUGAACAACAGAUCUCUACGAAGUGACUAUUCAUAUUGCAGGGAUGAUCCUGGGAAUGCACAUAGAUUCCAUGGGACUUGUUCAGGGGACCAAGGUUGUUCAUGCUAAAUUCAAAAUAUUUGGGGCCAAAUCCUAACAUUCAAUGCAAUAACAAAGCCCCAAUUGAUUUCACUGCGGGAAAGAUUAGACCCCUAGUGAAAGGGAUUUUUUGCAAUGCUACACUUCCUACUUUUUUGCUUUAGAAAUUGCAAAUCCUGUGUGCUAAAAAAUGACUCUAAAAACCCCCUGCCUCUAAUAGUCUAAUGAUAUUUUAUUAACAGCAAAAAUUACACUAAAAGUUUAUAGUGGAACAUAAUAAGAAAUUACUUUAUAAAUAAGGGGUUUUAAUUGUACCAGUAUGAGCAUUUUCUAGGACACUUUAGAAUGAGGUUUGUGGCAGCACCAACCUUGCGUUAACAGCUAUUUUGGUGAGUGCAUAUCUAAUUAAUUCAGAAUACUGAAUUUCUGUUCUAAAAUGGCUUUUGUAAUCUGCAUCCUAGUAGAAAAUUAAAUAAAGAAUUAGCCCAAAAAUACUUACUUGAACUUAGCCAUGUCUUUAAAGGCCAUAAUCCUAUGAAGAUUUAUAUCUCUGGGUAAUUUUAUCCACUGGAGUAGCCUGAAAGGCUGCUGCCAUAGGUAAGUCUUUGUCAUGCCAGAGCCCACAAAGCAGCAUAGCCGAUUGAUGGCAGAGCAGAGACUGGUGUGGCAGCUGUCCUGGUGCAGAGCUGGGAGCGUGCAGGGCCCCCCUGCAGCCACCCAUGAUGCUGGCUGUUCCCCACCCUGCUCCGUGACUGCUUGGGCCUUCCUGGACUGGGGAACUGCCCAAAGGACUGUGCUCCCAAGCACCAUGGGUACAUCGUGCCCCAUGGCAGGAGUGGGAGAAGGAAGAGUAGCUUUGGUCCCUACUGUCCUGUGCAGGCAGGGUCACAGCCCUGCCUGGGUCUGCCUAUAAUGUGAAGCACUGCUCUGCUUAGCAGUAUCCUGAAUUAAGUGACGGGGACUGCCAUUUGAUUUCAGGUGCCCUUUCCGCAAAUAUUUAAGCCUACAUCCCUUAUAUAUGUAUAUAUCUCUGAAUGGAAUGAAUAUAUAUGCACACACCUCUCUGAAGGGAGGCUACAGCAUAGUAGAAAAGCCCCAUUCUCUCAGACCUGAGAGAGGCACAACACCCACUCACUUCAGCAGGGGCUGUGCUGUUACAGUGCGUAUUUAUGACCAGUGUUAUGAUUCCUCUUGCUGCUGCAAAUUUGCCUAAAAUAAAUGUCCACACUGCUGAAUGUAGAUAUGUACAGUUACGCAGAUGCCUUUCCUCGGGAUCAAUUCUGCUUGCUUUCUGCUUUUCAGACUACAUCUGAUUUUGAGAGGAGUGUAAGUUUUCUUCCCAUAACAAGUUAUUGUCUUUUAUGUCAGUUGAGGUGGCUUCUAGUGUUCAUAGGGUUUUCUUGAGGAAAUUAAAAACAGUAAUACCUAUACAUCCACACAGCUAGACACAUACUUUGCAACUGUAAGAUUAAGCUAACUAGCCUUUUUCUCUGCCUUUUUACAUCAUUCUAGCAGUAAUGUACACAACUGGAUUUUUAUGCGUUUUUAAAAAUAAAUAAUGUCUUUAUAUAUACCAAAGGCUUUUUCUUCUUUUCCUUUUAAUAGAUUACUAUUUUUCUGAAAAGCACCUCCCCCAGGUAUUACCCUUAGCUGCUAUGACACCUCACCGUUUAGUGUUGCAAAAGUAAAUCAUAACACUCAUUAUUAAGAGCCAUAAAUUUGUACCAGAUUCAUCAUAUACCUCCUGAAAGCUUUAACGGUAGAAACAUUUCCUGGGCUAACGCCCAUGAUGAUUGCAUGCUUUUUAUUGCUAUCAUUUAGUAACCAAAUUGCUCAAAAAUCAAAGGACUUGAUUAUCACAUACCUGCAAUGCUUAGAGCUAUUUAUAAAAGUUGGCUCGAUAAUAAUAAUGACUCAAAAGAAAUUUAAAUGACAGGCCAAAAAUAAGUAGUCUAAAAGUGAAAAACCAAGCCAGAAUUCACAGAGGUGAUGGAAAGAGUCUGACACCAAAGGACAGACAGGAUCCUGAGGAAGGUAGAGAGAAGAGUCUAGGAGGUGAUGGUAGAAGGUAGAUGUGACCCAGCUUUGCAGAGACAGAGGGUAGAGGAGAGGUGAAGCACCAGGGACUGUAGGCGAGGAGGUAUCGCAGUGUGGCGCUCGGAGUAUGCACCAGAAGUGUUGAAACCAGGGCUGGAACAUCACACAUGUUUGGUAGUUUGCUUUCUGGAAAAACAGUAUUUAGUUAAAAGCAGCCAACAGAAAAUUAGGUGAAAUGUUCCAGAAACUAGAGGGGGCUGAUUGAUGGGAAAAAUAAGAGCCCUGAAUAUAUAGCUGAAGGGCAGGGGUUUGUAUAUAAAUGUAUGAAUAUACAUACCUAGCCAAAAUUACGUAAUAAUGCCCAUAUAGAUAAACAAAAUGAGCAUCAUGCUUUUGAAAUCGUUCUCCUACAGAAACCAGUGGGAAUUUUCCAUUGAUAUCAGGAGGGAUCAGAAUUUCUCCUGUCUACAGGAAAGCAAUGUAGCCUGGUGUGUGCAAACAGACCUUAAGCUAUGUAUGGAGAAAAUGCAGCAUGGCUAUCAAGAAACAUUCCCUUUCAGUGAACCCAAUACCCCUCUAUCCAGUGAGAAUGAUAUAAAGUAAUGGAACAAUGUCCAGGCAGGAAAGCCCUUGCCUUAGAGAUAUAAAAUUACCUUAGACAAGACAUGGCAGGCAGUAGUCACCCUAUGAGGGCUGGAGAGCCACCUGGGGAGGCCUUUUUGCCUCUGACUGCUGUGACACACCUCCAUGGAGCUGAAAUGACUCUGAUAAUUCCCCAACACUUUAUACCACUGAAACAAAGAGGUAGGCCCAUAAGAGGUAACCUAAACUUUCCAAGCUACUCUAGAGUAUUUCAGAUUAAGUCAAUUUUAUCUGUUUCAGGGGCAAUUGUCACCACUGUAUUCUAUAUCAGCUCAUCUGAGUUGUAUGCAGUGUACACCCCUUCCACAUAAUUUCAUUAGGCAUGAAAUGUUGGAAAAAUAUACCUGUCUUUUCUUUGAUAUUAACAAUUGCUGAUUCAUAACCUUGCUUGGAAAAUUAGCGGUUCUCUUACUAAAUCAGGACAACAUCACAAAGUUUAUUAAUGGUCACAGGUCAGGCCUAUCUUUUAAAUCACUGGCAAUCAAAGAUAAAGUGAUCAACAUGGGACUGGUCUUCUCUAAUUGGAGAAAGAGGAACAUUCUGAACCAGAACAGUACAGCAUGCAAUUGUGCAGCCUGUUACCAAAAAAAGAACCAUCUUGCUGCAUCUUACAGAGGCAUUUACAUAGAUAAUAUAGGUUUCAUAUGACUACUUUUAGAUUAUCUGAUAGUAAUAGCUUUGCAAGUCUUCACAUUCUCCUAACAAGAAGAUGAUAGAAAAUUCAAAUAAAAAGACAUCACUAAUUAAUGCAUUAUAAAGGAUUUAUUUUAUUUCUUUAAGUUAGGUGGAAAAUAGUAAGAGCAUGGAGGCUUCACACUAAUGCUUCACACGAUCUGGAAACUCAUCCUUUAACAAUCAUUCUUCAGGAGAUAACUUACCUGGUUACUCCACUAAAUGUAUUUUGUAUUACCUCUUCAUUAAGUUACCAUAAAAUAUUAUCCUGAAAUCCAAAGUUAUACAGGUUAUUACUUGCUGUUUUACCAAAGCAACAGUUAUUACAAUCUUGAUGGCCUGGUUGUUAUGACCACUAUGGGAAAAAAUGUUUCUUGUUCCCCUACUUUCCUCCACUGCCUGGCUGUCUCCCUUUCUGUUUAUGAUACGUGCAAAAGAUUUGAUGGGAUGGAAGGGAUUUUCUUUCUCAACAUCUUUUAUUUUAGAAAUGUCAGGAUCAUUUAAUCCUCUAGUAAUUGAACCAUAGAGGAGAGCAGUGGAAGCUUUCUCAGACCUCUAUUUAAGAGGUGGUGAAUUUUCUGUUUUUAAGAAAGAGACUUUUUUCCCUGUGUGUUUGCCAAGGUAUGAGUUAAGCAGAAGACAAUAACAUAAUUCCUUUCAAGGUUUCAGUACAAUCCUUUUCUUUUUGACUACUCACUGUCCUUUGUUGUGUUAUGACAUCAUGUGGCUGUCACAUCGUGUGUCUAUUGCACAUGUGAUAACAUAAAUCCAUUUGCCUUCAGCUGAUCAUAGAGCCUCUUGGUGAAAACUGGAUCUGCAAGUCCUGGUCUAGGAAUCAAGAGGCAAACCCCACUCCCUUUUGCUCUCCUUGUUCAGGUGCUUGUCAUUUCUGUGUAUGUAAAUUCUUACCAGUGGAGAAGGCAGGACCAGUCCAGACUCUCAGUUAGAAAUGAACAUAAACAUGUUAAUUUUCCUUGGCUGGAGCUGCAGUGAGGCGGUGCUGCUUGCUCUGCUCAAGCCUCCCUGGUAAAGAGGGAGGAAUAACUCCAGCAAGGAAAAGGAUGCUGAAUGGGCGUGAUCCGAAAUCCAAGAAAAAAACCCAAAAUACAUAAAUCCCCCAUAAAAUACUGUAGUUUUUAGGUUUUAAUUUUUGCCAAAUACGACUCUAUUUAAAGUAUUUCACAUUUCCUGGAUGCAAAACUUAAAUAUGUGCCCUGUAGGAGGCUCAGAACAAUAGCUCUGCUUUCUCUAAUAAAAUCUCUCUUCCGAGAUUAACUCUGGAGCUAGCAGUGAGGUCAGUGUUUCAUUUCAUAUAAGUCAGCUCAUGCUGACAAGGGUUUGGCCUUCUUAGUGAUGGGCCGUUUGCUGCUCAGAAGUGUGAGGAAUGGCUUUCUGAAAUAUCGAUAACUUGCCUUCACUUAGAGUUCAUGAUCAAAUUUAGCUGGCAAGUAUCAAUGCGCUACAGCCAGACUGCAGGGCUGAGAGGCUCAGGCCUUGGGCCAGCCGCUAAGGUCUGCUUUUUAAAUCAGGGGCUAACUCUUCCAUUAGUUUAAAUCAGUGGUUUGUAACAAUAUCAAAUGAGAUUUGUGUCAGAGUAGCCCAGACUACAACCUUGUCUUGGGGUUUGAAAAGGAAUAGAAAAAUUAGGCUGCAACCAUUAGAAUUCUGUUUUCAUUUGGUUUUGGUGUGCAUAUGUGUAAAUGUGCCUAUACACACAUGCACACGUGCAGAGCUGCAUUUUGUUCCCAUGGACGUUUCCCAUGGCCAUGUGGCUGCCAUUUAUCAUGGACCUAAGAGCACAAAAUCUUCCUCCUGGUGUGGUUUGAUUGACAUGUGCAGAGAUCUCACAUAAAGGAUCUGGGAUCCCGCUUUUCAACCAUAAAAGGAAAGCAGGCAAGCUUCAUCCCCGGCUAAACCCUUUGCACAAUAUACACCAAUAAUGAGGCAGCAUCUAUUUAUACAUUGCUUACUGGAAAUGACUGAAUUCAGACAGAAGCUGGUGAGGCAGCCUGGGCUCCACCAGCCUCCAUGGAGUCUAUUGUUAGUACCCAGGAUGAAUCCUCAGGCAAACGGAGAAGAGAGGCAUGAUUUGGAGCCUACCGUGCCACAGGAGGCACUUGGCACUUGGCAAGUGGUGUCUCCUCUCAGAGAAUGCCUUCACUGGCUCUGCCAGAACCCGGCAGUCACAGAGGAGGAAUGCAGGAGAAAUGGUCAUAAGAGUGCAGCCCCGUUGCUGCUCCCCUGGGAAGUAGGAUGCUGACUCGGGUUUAUCUGCAGGGUGGGAGCUCCCUACCUUUCUUUAUGAGAAAAGGAGGUGUCCAAGAGGGAAUGGGAGGAAGGCAGUACUAUCUUGAUGCACACUGAUGCCUUCUUGCCAUCUUGUUGCAGAAGGUUUUCAACAAUAUUUCUUUACCUAGAAAAAGCAAGAUGCAAUAGAAAAGCCCCAUCCAGCAUUAUGGCAUUGGUUAGAUAGGCCUGUGUGGCUGAUCGUCCAGUGACGAGGCUGAGGUGCAGUGCCAAUACGUGCCUGUGACAAUGAAAACUUGCUUGUCUGUUAGAUAUUUAUCAUAAAAAAAGUACUCAGAACCCCUUAGCAAAGCAUUAUCCAGACAGUGCUUUUGCUCCAUGUCCUUUUCCACUCCUUUUCUCUGUGGCUCUCGUGUACUUUACCCAUAUGCUCUAAAGCUGUUUUGUUUUCAGUUUUAUGUAUGUUUUAUGUAAAUUAGAAGAAUCAAGCUUCUCUGCUUGCUAAAUUAUAAAUUGAGUGGAAAUUGGCCGACUCUCUUUAGACCAUGUCUAUAAGUUAUACAAGAUGUAAGUAAUCAAGCUGAGCAGGCUGGGUUGGAGAGGGAAAACACAUCAAUAGCAUGGGCCACGUGAGCUGCAUCCAUGUGUCCCUGUAUACUGCUGCUUGCUUUCGGAGCCUCGAAUCUCUCUUUGCUCUAAAGUGGUAAUGUAACUCCUUUUAGAGCAUUCUCUGAGAUGCAGGUCUAUUGCCUCCUUUGGUAGUUUGCUUGGCAUACUCAGUACACCUUGUGUAAAUGAACUGCUCUGAAAUGCCUGUUUCCACUCUCUUGCUUUAGGACCAGAGCAGAUCCAGACUGCCUCCUCUGGGAGCACUGAUUCAUUUUCCUUCCCUUCUUCCCCUUGUAAGUGAAAAUGCCUUUUGAUUUUAGUGUCUGUCUCCUUGGUUUACCCCCUGCUUUGGCUCUACUUCCCAUACCCCAUGCUACCUUUCAUACGCUUGAGUUUUGCCCUGGGUUAUCUUUUUCUCAGUAGCCCACUGCAACCUCACAGAGCAGGACUGCAGUGCAAGAGCAGAAGCCUGGCAGUGGCUGGCAGCCUGAGAAAUGCUGCCAGGAGAGCAGGGAAGUUAGCUGGUGUCUUGGGACUCAGUGAGACAGUGGAGAAUCUGCUACAGGGCAGAAAAGAGUCUUACCGUGGCCUUUUAUUGCAUUAGUUAGACCAAGUUUUAGGAAAAGGGGCCUAAAAUCAGACUCCUAGAUCUAUCCUUACACAACCAGGAAGGACUAGUAGUAUUAUAAGCAGAUAUGGGCAUGAUGCUGCUCUAGCCUGAAUGCAGGGUUCCUCUUAAAACUGUCAAUUUUCAGAUGGUUGUGACUAUCCAAACUGCCCCUAAGAGAUGAGACUGAUUGCAGCCUCAACACAGCACAGACAUUGGCUGCACUGGCAUCUGCAUGCUGCCAGUGUCCAGCAGCACUGACUGAGAUCAGCCUUGUGCUGCUGCCAUCAGCCUGUCCACCCCAGGAGCACCAAGCCAUGUCGGGGGGCAGAGCUCCGGCUAGCUCUGCUCUCUAUCUUGUAGUUCCACACCCACCAGAGAAUAGAAUAAAACGUCCUCAGAGAGGCAGUGUAGUGCAGUUUUCAUCAGUUCCUGACCAACUUUUUAAGCCCAUGGCAUCAUGGAGAUUGAAUGUCAUUACCAGGUUAGAAAAUUCAGGUUAGAAAUGUAUUGCUGUGGGGGGGAAUUGUGGGCGUUGGGUGGGCUCUGCAGGCAUGGGCCCUGGGCACAGAACAUUAGUGGGUAGCCUGUUCCUGUGUCCUGCACAGCCCUAUUCCUGCUGAUUCCUGGGGUGUCCAUGCAAGUCCCCAAGCCCUCACAGCCCAGCCUGGCUGCUGAGAGGUGCUGCUCUUAGGGCACAGCACGCUUUACUGACUCUGGUGGGGCAGAAGCAUGUGCUCUGCUAAAGGGGAUCCCAACCGAGUAGUCAGAUGGCCUUCAGGAGCUUUGGGCUAGAACUUGCAGGGCACAAACUGGAUCCUCUCUGCUCAGUCUCUGCCCUGCAGUUAUUUGAGUUUGGGCUCUCUUUCACCGAGCUCAUAAAAUACAUGCUUUUUCUUUUAAUUCAUUAAAUGCUUUGAUUCAGUGAUAUACCAUCAGAAUGUGGUUUAUUCUGUCCAGUCAAAUCUUUACUGAGGAUGAUAAAAAAUAGCCAACCUGCCUUUUUAGAGCUGCUUAUUUUACUUCAAAGGGAAGGCAUAACCUUUCAUUUCCUGGUGAGAUUUUUAUUAAACCUCUGCCUAUUUUAUUUGUCAGGCCACAUAUAAGUUUACUAUCACUUGUGUUUCCAAAUAAAAGGUAUGUAGGUUGGUAAGUAGUCUGUAAGUCUAACUGCUAUUCCUUGAAACUCAUAAAAGGAUGAUUUUAAACCAUGGAAUCACUAAUUAAAGCUGCUUCUCAAUACACAAAAAUUAAGUUAACAGUAAUUAAUGUAGCCAGCCUGGAACCUUAGGAAACUACUGCCAGCAAGUGUCUUUUGGUGCACUCAAGAGGAUGCAGUUUGAUUGUUGGCACCAACAGACAGGUUGGGAAUUGUAAACAUGGUAAUUAGCAAUAAGUUUCUGGAUCUCAACUUGCCAGACUGGCAGUCUGAUUCUUGGAGUAGUUGUCGCAUGGGAGGAGGGAAAAACAAAGUAAGGGAAUUAGAGCAACCUUGCAUUGCUCUGCCAACAUAUGCCACUGGACCACUGUUUUUCUUGGCAAAGAUCUCUGAGAAGGAGUUUAAAAGCAGCAUUGCAGCCCUACUGCAAACUGUGAACCUCACUGCAGGCAUCAACCAAGCAACUGUCUCUGGCUCUUCUGCUCAAACUAUGAGUGCUGCUCCAUGGUAAGGAAUUGUAGAGUCUGAUAUUCUUCUACUCCACCUUUAUGGUGGGGCACAGUGUUGAUAAGGUUAUCAACAAUAAUGGGAUUAAAAGAGUUAAAAUCCAGCUUUUGCAGUAAUCCCAGAGUAUUCUAUUGUUGAGCUAUCAAAGAUUAAGGUUAUAGUAACCUUAUUAAUCCUUGGUGUAGUAUAAAUAAAAAGGAAAUGUCAACCUUAAUUCCACCAUGAAAUUAAAUCUUCACUUCUCUAAAUGAUGAUUCAAACAUAGUUUACUGCAGCCAAUGUGGUUAAUGAAAAUGCGUAACCCGUGUGAAUUUAAGAAAUCCCCUUUGAGAGACAGAGAGGGAGAAAGGGGUGAUAAACCAUGGCAUUUUUUUUGUUUAAAAUGAAAAAAGUUAAUAUUUAUCCAGCUGGUAUGUCUGCAGGAACCAUACCUAGAGCCAACAAAGUGUGCAAAGAAUAAGAUAGGGACGAAAUGCUCAUGGUGUACAUCCCUGUGACGCAGUGAACACAGACCCCAGACUGCAGCAGAACAGCCAUCUCUGUGCCAGACAGCAGCCACAGCACUGCUGGUGGUGACCUCGACCCUCUCCCCUGCUUGCAGGGCACUGUGUGGCCUUGUUAGUGCUGCCCCAGAGCCACGGACAGGAUGCCCUGACACAAGAGUUUGAACCGAGCAUUGAUCCACCAGUGCUUUCAGUGCCAGAGACAAUGUGACGAAAACCAAAAAAUGUCAGAAAUAAAAUGGUUGCUGAAUGUUCUGGAAACAGUGAGCCAGGAGCUUUUGUGAAGGGCACAGGUUUUCCUUGCUAAGCUGAUUUCUAGGGGAUGGGAGUUGCCCUUUUUGGUAAUGGAUGGUUUCCUCCUCACCUGUGCCAGACACAACUGUGUUCCCCCUGCUCACAGAGGUUGAAUCUGUAAGUAGGUCUGAAACUGCCUGCUGGUACUUGCUACCUGAAGAGAGGGAAGGACAGACAGACUGAACUUUGCUUAUAAGUCAAUGGAAUGUGGUCCAGUUAAAUCCAUGUUUCUUUGUGGGAGCAGGAGGGGAAUUACGGUAAGGAGAAGUGGGCUAUGCACCCUUUGGUAUGCUUUUUUGACUGGGAGGAAAAAUAAAGUAGUGGUAAAAUGGGGUGAUUCAGAAUGAUUCUGCAUGUUAAGUAUCUCAAAUGCUCACUCCUAGUGUAGCAAAGUGGUAAUUAGGUAUUAAGGAGCUUCCUACAGCAGGAAUUGAACUCUUUUAGGGCAGAGUCAUUGCUAGAGAAAAAAAGACGGUUUUAGUGGGGCUCUUCCUGAGGAAGGUGGCUUUGUCACUUCAGCAAACCUGUCUGCCCCAUAUUAUCUGCAUCUCUUGGGAAUUACUGGUUCUGUGGACUGAUAGAGCUAGACAGUGUGCUGGAGAGUGUCUUUUCAUAUUGCUUUCUCCAGUCCUCAUAAACUCUGAUAAAGUUGUGUAACGAAACUCGGGCUCAUAAAAGAGCUCAUUUUAAGAUGGUAUUUUCCCCCUUCACUCACUGAAUCAUGCUCUGCUCUGGUGUGCAUUGUUACAGCUCCAGAGCGUGCACCAGUUCAGAUGUGCCCGCUGGGUCCUGGGCUGUCUCCAUCCCCACUACUGCUGCAAUUGCUACCACAAACACAAAUUGGCUCACUCAGGCUCUUCUUGUCUUUCUGCAGUGUAGGAAUAGAUAAUGGGCCCAUGGGGUCGUUCAGAAAUAUUGCUGGUUUCCAGUGCUGGCAUAAUAGUCCCUUCUAGGUAGUAUCCUUUUCCUGGACAAUUUCCCAGUAAAAUAGUAAAUGGCAACUGCAGAGCAGUAAAGGCGAUGGCGUAUUUGUUUGACUGACAUUUCGGAGCCUGCAGAGCAAAUGCAAUUAGGAUCCAUAGUGUGCUGCAGCUUCCUUUCUUCACUUCCCUACCUUGGAAGAUCUACUACUAGGAUCAACUUAAGUCUGGUUCCUGCUGCUUUAAAGUGGUGGAGAGGCUCCAGCGAGGGAGGGCAGCAUGUGCCUAAGCCCCUGUGGGUACCCUUUGCUUUGGGAGCAGUCGGCAUCUCACAGGGCUCAGCUGGGACAGGAGCUGCUGCCACUCCCCUGCCGGCACUGCAGCUCCAGGUAGGAGUGAUUUUGUUAGUAGGUGUGUGCUUCCCCUUGACUUAGCAGAGUUGUUGAAACCAGGGUGGCCCUGCAGCACUCAGACUUGCACUCCUCACUGGGGAGAAAUUUCUGUCUGUGCCCACAGAUCUGUGCCAGGCAAAGCAACUGAGGGUUUGGGCUGCCCUGGUCUUCACCAGGGGCAACUGAUGCUUUCUUUGGAAUUUUGCAGGAUCAACAGUUGAUGCACUGUGAACACUUUGGUACACACUUGACAUCAGAAAGAAAUGUGAAAAAAGUGGUGGUCAUCAUUCAGAUUUGUCUGAAGGAAGUAAUUGAAAACAAAUUGCUACCAAAAGCCAAGGGCCGUGGUUAAUUGAGGUGGAGCACUGUAGGUCACUCACCUGUAGGAAAAGACUGUUAAAGAACAGGCAGGGGUCAAAAUUGUUUCUGUCCAGGUGGGAAAAGAGAGUCUCAGCCAUAUAAUUUGGUUUGUAGGGUUAUUCUGUUUCUCAUAGAUCCUGACAUGAAAAUCCAGGCCUGCAGAGCAAUGCUUUAAUGGCUGGAAAUAAUGCAAUCGGUGAAAGCAGGGGCAGCUAUGGCUUGCUGUGGUGGCAGGGCAGUGGCCAGGCUGUAGCAUCCCUUCUGCCAUGGGCAGGUCGGAGCUGGCCCCUGUAGGAGAUGCACGGGCAGCUGCCGAGUUCCCUCUUGGCAGAGUGGGGGCUGCAAUGUGCACAGAGCCACCGCCCUGCCAGCCUGCUCCAGCUGUGAGUUUUAUUUUCCAGCUGGAACAUUGCUGCCAUGUAUUGUUUAGUUUAUUAACAAAUUUAAAUAUCACAAUCUUUUCUAUUCCUGGUGCUUCUUGGAUGUCCGGACUCAGGCAGACAUUGAUGCCUGUGUAAAUUGGUGAAGCGUUUUGCAGCAGGUCCUCUGGACACAGAGGCAGGGGAAGCAAUGACGUGGGGUGGCCUGGACCUGAUGCCCAGGGGUAAUAGGAGGAGUCUGCCCUCACUGGGCUGUGGCUCUGCAGGACAAAACCUCUUUGUUUCUCAGAGAAGCUCUUUCCAACCCGCUAAAGCUAUUGCUAGGAUUCAAGAGAUGAAAAUAAUGAUGAAAAUGAUGAUCUACUAAAUUUGAUCUACUACGUAUUUACUAAAUUGCCCUUUUUCUAGAUAUUUUGUGUCAGAGCUCCUGCAGGGUAAAAGCCAAAUUUCUUCAGCUUCCUAUAUCUGGUGACAAAUUCCACACCAGCCUCUUUCAGGGCAGGUCCUUGCUGCAGGCUCCUGCACUUUUGCUUUGUGUUCAGGUAGUCAAGAACAGGAGUGUGCUACAACCUGCACUGCUCUGUCUGCUUCCUGUGCCAAGGCUGCAAGUGGGGGAAAGCCAGGACAGUAUAAAACACGGGAACCAAAGUUUCUUAAAGCAGUCUAAAUGAAGGGCAAUCCCCUGAGUUUGUGGUAUUGAGUGUUGGCUGUAACAGCUCUGAGGGUUGGGCCAGCUUGAUUAGAACUUUGAUUUCAGCAUUUCAAAAAGGACUUUAAAUCCUACAUAUGUAGCACAAGUAUAAGGAUAUGAAUACUCCUAUCUACCCUGAGAUAUGGGAAGAAUGAUCACCUGGCUAUCCUUGGAAGAGAGACAGCUAUCAUACUUUGAUAGUUCAACAUACCUUCUAUAGAAUACCAAAACAUGCUGAUUUAUUUGACUUACUGUUAUUAUAGUCAGCUUUUGGGAAGAUCAGUAUUUGAGCCAUUUAUCUUCUUUUACAACAAAAAACCAAAUGCUGUCCAUGCAGCAGAGCCUGUCCCCAAAAAGCAAGGCUGGUGUGAUAGUGUUAGGGACAUGCAACUGUACUCCUCUCUGUGGGAGCCUUGCCUGUGUGAGGGCUGUGGGCUGUUGGGCUGUUCCCACGGGCUAUUGGGCUGCCCCCACAGCAGUGGUAGCUCUGCUGCACAGGGCACAUAAGCAGUUGCUGCGGAGGAAGGUUUCUUCUAAGGCCUGUCCUGGGUGGGCAGGGAUGGCACCCAUGAGCAGUGCAGCAGCAGCUGGGCUUUCCGGGAGGUUGUGCUGAGCUCCUGGGGCAGCACAGGUCCUCCCUGCCCCACUGAAAGGAUGGGGCUCAACAGCAUCAGCAGAGCCCCUGUGCUUUUGACCUUGGAUUUUCUCUCGUAUAUGCAUAAAGAACAGUGUGGUGUAAGAGGGUUUUAAUGGAAGGAAACUGAGGAAGCCAGUAAAUUAUUUUCUGUGGUAAACAUUUAUACUAAUAAUUUUAAAAAUUCAGUGAAAAUUUCUUUUUCCUCAGAAAUUGAGUAUUACCUUUAGUAUAUGAGAGCAGGAAUUCACUGAGUCAGGAAGGUCUCAGUUAAAGAAACUACAACUAAGGACCUAUCUCUUUAGGAACUCUCAGUGUUUCUACCAAUGAAUUUCCAAAUAGCUACUCUAAAGCUCUGGAAAUCUGAGUAUUAUUUCCAGAGGAUAUAUCCAUAAAAUGACUUAAGCCUGAUAUUCACAAAACAAAAGCUUUUGUUACAUUAAAUAAAUCCUUGCAGUUCUCUGGGUUAACUGGCUCCUCAGGGAAAAGCUGGGGACACCAGAUUGCCAGGUGGGUGGAGAAAGGUAGAGGGAAUUGUUCUGAGGAACCAAAGAGUCACAAUCCAGUAGUGUAACCCAUAUAGCACCCUCCCUGCCCAGCACUGUGCUUCCAGGCAGGAUUCAAGCCUCCAGUAUCUCGGGAUUCCUGCCCAAUUACGUGAAAUGAGUUCAGGAAAAAACCUGCUUAUUACACUAUGGUCUAGUUUUUAGAUCCAAACAUUGUACAUUGGGUGUGGAACCUCUCUGACUGACAGCUCUGAGUAAAGCACUUUCUAAGGUUAUGUAAAUGCCUAAAAAGAAGUCUAACCCCAAAUCUUAAUUGUGUAGCAGAUUUGAGUCCUGUUAAGUCUAGGCACUGCCAGAUUUUAAAGCCCCGCUGCUCCCUUACAUAAAUACUCAUCAAUAUUUACAGUAAGUGUCCUAAAAAGAUAUUUGGUUCCCUAUAUGAGCUAGAAGAAGGUGUUGCAGGGCUGUCCCAUCUCCACCGGUUGCAAGUGGCAUGUGGUGCUGCCCAGGGCUGCUCCAGCAAGGGCUGGGAAACUGGUCCCCUUCAAGUCCAGCCAGAACUGCACAUAUCACAGAUGAGAUCCCAGGCAGAGGAAUGAAGCUACUUCCAUUUAUGAUGCCCAGUAACAGGGCAAAGAGACCUUUCCUUCUGCCUGUGCUCUAGCAUGGCACAGAAACAAUUAUAAGACAUGUUUAUAAAUUCCACCUGGGUGUUGCAGCUCUUGCUAUGAAUCUCAAACGUGUAUUUGAGAUUUAUUAGUAUUGGGCUGCUUUUGACACAAAGGAUGUGGUGGACAAAGAGCAGCAGCUUCUGUGCUAGAAGGAAGCACAUAAAAAACUGUCAGUACACUUGUAAUUUCAUGCUUCUAAAUGUUGUUUUCGAAAUGCCAUUGUACUUGUAACUAUUCUGUGUGCAUUAAAUCUGAGGUGUAGAAUACUAUCUCAUAUUAAAAAUGUGAUAGCAGUGUUACAGUACCUCUAAUGUUUUUGUAAGAACUUUUGUUAGCUCUUACUGCCUUGUCCUUGGUGUGACUUAAGGCAGAAAAUGAAGAGCUUAUUGCAUUUAAAAAUGUUCAGAAAGAUGUGCUUAAGUAAAUAGAUAUCUUUAUUUUCAGUGUUGGAAUAAGUGUGUAAAAACAAGGGGAUUGAACAAUGGCAAAGUCCAUGUGAUAGAGCUCACUAAAUAGUGGUUGUGGUGAAUUUUGCAGAAUUGCCCAUGAGUAACUGGCAAAAUAUGUUUCCUAUAUCCCACAGUUUCUAGAACUAGCUGACUCAUUACUGCAUCCAAGGAGAGGUACCUUGAGUUGUGAUCUGAUGCCUGUUAAAAAUUGAAAUUGAUUUAUUUUUUGGAGGGAUUGAAUCAGGAUCCUAAAGGACCUGUGACAUUUUUCAAACAAAAUAUGUGUCGUUUCCUUUCUUUUUUUUUUUUUUGUUGCUUAUCCCAACCUAGAUAAGGAAUCAGCACUAAAUUACAGCAGUGCCCACCUCUCCUCUCCUGCAGGGAGCAAAUGAGAGGGACAGGACACUUGAAAAAAGGGAAAAGGUAGAGGAAAAGCACAGAAGGGAAUGAUUGGAAACAGUAGAGGAAGGGAAGAAAUAGGAAAAAGCAGAAAAAAAAGAGAAGCAAAAGCAGACAAGAGAAUGAAAAGCAAGAGAGAUGAAAAAGUAGUAGAAAAAUGAAAACAAAAGGGAAGAUUGAAUAAACAUGAGUAAGCUCAAUAAUUAAUUCUCUUAAUCUUUCAGUAUGUUCCUCAGGCAGGAGCUCAGUGUGAUUUGGUAGGUGUGGGAUUUUUUUGAAGCAAACCUCACCUCCCCCUGCCUCUCCAGUGCUGUCUCCAAGAGUUUUCCUCCCUCUUACCUUGGCGGGAGCUCUGCGGUGCCUGACGGCCGCCCCGUGGCUGCCCUGAUGAUGUGCUGCUGGUCAUAGGCUCUGUCUGAUGUUCAUCCACGCUCAGCUGACCCAAGGUCUAUGAGGAACAUGAGUUAGCACCAGUUCCCGGUUAAAUCUCAGCAGGUUUAUUGUUUACCAAACCGUGACAAAAGAUGAAGUAAUGUCCUAUCUGGCCACACACUGGGCUGUAAGUCCUCUUUUUCUUUUUUUUUGGUUUGGUUUGGGGUUUUUUUGUUUUUUUUUCUAAGAGGGAGAGCUAGCUAAUGUGUCCUGUUACUGUCACAAAAAAAAAAUAUCAGUGAUUGUGAUUUAGAGGAGCUAAGUGUUUAAAAUAAAAUAUACAUUCAGUGCUUUCACAUAAAGAUUUGAUGAUAACCAGGUGACUGCAAUCAAUACAUCCAUAUCAAAGCCCAGAGAUUAUUUUUGUAGGGUGUUUACACCUUAUCUCUUCUCUCAUUGUACCCUCUAACAGUUACAGCUGGGGAUGAUGAAAACACAUGUUCCAUGCAAUUAAUUGCUGCUGCCUUAUAAAAAGCUGAAGCCUAAUAAACUUCAAUAUGGAGUAAAUAUCAUCCUUGUGAAAGAGCAGUUUUGCCCUACUACUGACAGUGAAAGCAGAGCUAGUGAUGAGUCAGCCUUCAUAAAAAGACAGGUUAAGGUAAGAUUUAAGUUUGGCUUGGCGUUUCCAACCUAUUGGAAAUGACUUCUGGACUUGGGCAGGACAAGAGUUAAGAGCACAUCUUGCGUAAAUCUUUACCUCAUGUUUUGGAGAGACCAGUACGCUUGUCCUCUGGCAAUCAGAAACGUCGUCUGCCCUCGCACAAAGAGCAGAGCUCUGAUAAAUGCACUGAUUCCCAUUUGUGCUUUGCUUUCCUAGUCAUCAAAGCAAUUUUAAAAUCAAUAUGUUAUGUUUAGGAGGAAGGCCAUGUGUUCCUCACAGGGCAGGAAUAUCCCAUCCAAUCUGCGCAGGGAGAGUUAUCGUCCUAGACGCAGCACUUUGUACAAACCAAAGAAUAUAAAGAAUAUUCCAGGAAAGCCAUAAAGGGAGAUGACGCAGUAACUGUUUCUGGGAUGUUAAAAAUACAGUUGUGCUUACAAGCUGCUGCAUGAGCCUGACUGCAGCGUCUGGCUCUGGGUGACUGUGUGGAUGGCAGUUUCAUAGAUGUCAGCAAUGCAGGGUGAGCCCCAAGCAGGUCCUGAAAUUUUAACGCGUGAUGAGGCCAGGAGGCAGUUUGGUGCAGUGAUAAUAAUUUAUUUAAUGCAACUAAUAUAUGUAAGAAUGCAUCUGAGACAGUGUUGGGUCUGCCAAGAGCACUUUGUUUUGACACCACAAUGGAUCAAUUAGGGCUGGAGGUUGUAGGCUUUAGAACAGGACUGUGGGAUCAAGCUACUGGUUUUUAAUGCGUUUGAGCUGUUCUUAAAUAAAUCUUCAUUAGUUAGGGUGGCACCACUAAGUCUACUUCCUACUGAGCAGCAGGAAGAUAGAAAGAGCAUCUACAACAGUAAUAGUUUAACACAAAUGGAUUUAAACUCUGGUGUAAUAGGAAGCUUAUGGAGCUUGGAUGAGGGAUGAAGGAGGUGGGCAGAAAGAGAUAGAAACAGAGAGGAAAAAAUGCCCAUCUGGCUGCAGACAGAGAAGGAAUGCGUGUUCUCUCUUUUCUUCUGUCAGCUGAAGCACACCGCAUUGCACACAGAAGCUGUGAAUGCUUGUGGCACACCUACGAAGCCAUUUUUACUUUGUAACCUGUUUAUAGUGCCAGGUGAAUGGCCCCCGGAGCAAAGCAGGUGUGCUGCCUUUUGCAUCCUUCCAACGUCCCACUCCACGACUGGGACCCACCACAGGGUCCUUCAGGCUGUGGUUUACUGAAUGGUCUGCUAAGGGGCUUGAUUAUGAUCCCAAAUUCUCAGAGGUUUUUCUAGUCUGUCCAAAAUAUUUAUGUCUGCAACAUUUCAGACCUAUUUAUGUCUUUUUUUUUUUCCUGCUGGGUAAAAAGUAGUUUGGCUUUUACAAUGUGUCUGUAUAUAGGGUUUUAGUAACUUAGAUUGCUUUUAUAUGUUUAUAAUUAAAGUAACAGCCCCUUAAAAAUUGGAUUAUUGAUCAUGGGAAGACUGUAGAUGUUUUUAAUCUUUAGAAGCAGGACUACAAAUAAAUCAAAUUAUAUGAAGUAUUUCAUUUAAAGGCAUUUUGUUUUAUUGAAAACACUGCACCCCGUGUUUGCAUAAAUGUAAUAAUUCUGUUUCUUCAUAUGAGGAUUCAGAGGAAAUCAUAGUAGGAGUUAGACCUUCUCACUCAGUAAAGUGUGCUGAUGUCAAUAAGUCAAAAUUAGACUCCUCCCAAAUUGCAUAAACACUGAAAGAUUCAAAGUUAAGGAUUUAGAGGGCUGUAAAAUUCCCAUUUCACCUGGAGUUGUAAUCUUUUUGUGCAGAUGCACACAAUGCACUGUCUUUACAGAAAGUUUAGGACGACUGUUAUGUGUGCCUGUACGCACACCCACACAUACACCUCACCCUAGUGAUGAUGAACUGCAGCAGAAACACCCUCCCUGUCCUUCUUAUGACUGAGUGCCUGAAUCUGGGAGUUUGUUUUCAUGUUCCAGAUGUUUGCUCUGCUAGAUUUGACCACAGGAAUGUGAGGCCAGUGGGCUGAGUCUCCUGAAGCAGAGAAGAGCUGCAUUUAGCCUGGAGUUUGCACCUUCCACCAUUUCCAAGGACAAAGCAGGAAACUGGUUUUCUCCCUGGGAGAAGUCAACCAAAGAGGCAUUAUGCAUGCAAGGAAGCUGGUGGGACUGUGUGAAUGCAAAUGGUCUUUGUUAUUAACCAGCUCUCUUCAAGCUGACUGAGGAGCUGAAUGGAUCUGUCCAUUAAAUCUCAUCCCUUCAAAAGACAGGAACAAAAUCACCACUGUAAUGUUUUGACAAAGCAAAAACAUUUUUGUUUUCCAGCAAGAGUUUAGCUCGUACAGCUAUGCUGCCCUCUUAGGAUGUCAGAGAAAGAGGUUUUCCUAGUCAAAUGCUGCCCUGCCUCACCAGUCUACCUUACCCCAGUGAUGAAGUGCUCCAGCACCAGAAGUCACCUUCUGUGUUCAGCUGAGCUCAACUGGAAUCGUGCUAUCUAGCUGUGCUGUUAAGUGGCUCUGAAGACAUUAUGGGUGCAGAGCUGUACUGCUGUAUUUCAAGUGAUAACAAAAACUCACUGAAUAGAUUGAAGAAGUGUGGCUUUUUGUUGCAGCAAAUUGAGACCAUAUAGGCAACUCCAUCAUUGUGCUAAGGCAGCAGAUACAGCCAGUGUUUGGAAGAAAUGGUUCAUGACCCGAUGAUGCUUUCCAAGAGAUACAGCCAGGAAACAAAGAUACUGGGGGCUCCUCGGGUGGCAGGAACACUGGUGGAACAGGCGAGGGAAGCAGAAGGGUCAGACAAUGGAGAGAGUGAAGAGAAAGAUGCAGUGCAAGCAGGAAAAACCCUUUGCCAUGGUUCAGGCUUACUCUCGCACUCAGAGCUGGGGAGAAAAAGCAAUAGCUGCAGGAAAAGCCCUUUUCUGAAGACCGGCAGAGCAUGCCAGGAGGGUGCUGCAGCCACUGUCUCUGCAGCCAAAGCGAGGAGCAAUGCCACAAUCUGCAGGGGUCAAAUCCAAGAUCUGCAUUGAGAGUUUGGUCCAAUGGGUCCCUAGAAUAGGGGAAGGUCCUCACCCCACAUAGGGGUUGUCACAAGCAUCUGGGAGAGGGCACUGUCAGAUGCCGGACCGGAUGCUCACCUAGCAAGAAAAUGUUGAUGGGCUAUUACUGAAGUAUUCCAGUCUCUGAGCAACUGGCCCUGGGAAUACUGUGAACACUGGUGCCUCGAGUGUGAAGCAUGACCUGUCCAGGGUAGAAGGCCAGGAUGAUCCCCCAGGGACCAGACCCUGAGGAAGGGCGGCUGUGAGGCUAAGGGGAGAAGCCGAGCUAGCCUUGCACAAAUUCUCUGGUGGUUCAGGCUGGCCAAACUAAACGUGUCCCUUACCUUGGCAUUGUCAUGACUUUGACAGAAACACCUGGGACUGGUGUGGGUCAGAGCUGUCUCCUGGCUGACCCCACACAGGGCACUUGCUGCUACAGAAGGACUGUGCUGAGGGCAUGCAGACAUGGAACCCACCGCUGGCAGGGCUUGGCCACCAGGCUCGCACCCAGCUGACUCACAUUGUGGAGCAGGUGGUCAUGGCCAUGCUGAUGUGCACAUACACAGAAACCCAGCACAUGUGGUGCAGACAUCAGCCCUGGAAAGUACAGCGGUGGCCCUCACCUUCGGGAGGGGACCCCAGCAUGUGGCAAAUGAGCAUCAGGCCCCUGUGCUCGGACACCACACACACAUGCAGGGCAGUGCAGAGUGCCAGGCCCAGAAAACCCAACUUCAGGACCUCCAAGGGGGCACUUUUCUCCAGCUGAGGGUUUGUCCCCCUUCUCUUUGCAUCAGGUGAACCCACAUCAGCUGCACUGGUGCAAAGGAGAAAACGCAUUUGAAUAACAGCAGUAUAAAGGUGUAACAAAUGAAUAAAAUGCUGCUAAUGAGCCUCAUUGACAACGGCUAUUAUUUGCAUCUAUCACUUGGAGAUUAAAAAACAAAAAAAAGUGAAAUAAGCUGCAUGUGUUGUAAAGGGUCAAAGUUUCUGUGCUAACACCACAGCUUGCAGAGUUCUUUCCUGCUGUCCCUUGUGCCCCUGUUCCCUGCUGACCUGCUCCAUAUGUCCUGGGGAGCCAUGCUGGGGCCAUGGCUGCUCCCUGGAAGGAGGAGAGAGGGGUCAGAGGGGGUAGCACCGAAGGGAGAGGAAGAGUGUGGAUUGGGAGAAGGGAGCAGGUGAUAAAAAAGCUCCUCAAGGUAGGGGCUGAUGCUGAUGUGCUGCUGUGGUGAGCUGCAGUGCAUGACAAGACUUGUCCCAUGUCAAGGGUAGAUCAGCUUUCCUUUGACUUGAGAGGGUGUUGGUGUGUGUAUUAGCUAAGUCCAGGAAACAGUCACUGCUGCACUGGGUCUGGUCAUGGACAGUUGUGGUAUCCUCUACUGCCCUGUGAUUUGCAGUUUCUUUUUUAUUAUUUGCAUGAAAUCAUGCUCUUGCUGUCUCCAGGGAAUUUCACCUAAGUGAGCUUGCAGCAAAUUUCUCUUCCUUCAAAUCAUAAGCACAAACACCUUUGACAUAGUUUCUCUGCUUCUGAGGUCUCCGUGUUACUCACUUUGUCUAGGUCCUUUUUCAAGAAGUUAAUAAGCCUGGCACUGCAAGUCCACUGACUCUUAGCAGAAUAUUUCUUUCAUUCCUGAGGUCCCUUUCAUACCCAGUUUUCAUAUUAGUACCCUUCAUUAGCAUCCAUCCAGCUUUUCUUGUUAGUAUUACUGUGCAAUGCACUUUCUUUUGUAGUACCUGAAGCUUGUAAGACAACUCAGUUUGCCUCCCAGGGGGGGAGAAAGUAGCUGUAAUCUGUGUUCCUUGUCUUGAGUCUCUUGAAAGGACUAGAAAUCCCAAAUGCAGUAACUUGUGGGUUUUCUGUCUUAGAGAAUUAGGUUGUCUUUGCAUUACUGAGCAGGCAAACAUUGAGCAGUGCUUGAUCAAUAAGAGGCAUUGCCAGAGGUCUGGUAUAGUCUACUACAGCUGACGGUAAGUGUUGCUAUAGGCUAUGGAAUUAGGAAUAUAAAAUGUCAAAUGACAGUAAUAAUUCAUGCAUCCUGGGACAUAUAAAACCAACAGCAUGUCAAUAGCUGUGGCAUGCUCUGCAGAAAAUAUGCAGGAUUUAGAUGUUGCAGGAGUCUGUUUUAUUUUAAGCCACACUUUUCUUGGUGAAAUAUAGACUUUCCCUGUUUGUUGAAAGCAUUUAUUUUCAGUUUCAUGUUGCUACUUCUCUAUUAAGAUUCUAAGAGCCAUGCAGCUCAAAAGGGGCCCUGAGAUUCAAAAAGCAAAAUAUAUGUAUUUAUUGAAGAAAAACACAUAAAAUAUUUAUAAAACAGAGGGUGCAAUACUAUUUGAGAUUCAUGGACCAUUUUAGCAUUCAUAAAAGCAAAUACGGUUCUCAUGUUGGCUUCACCUGGAAUCAGACUUUACUAGAGGGGUUAGCCAGGAGGGAUCUGCCUCAAAAUGAAACUUAUUACAAUCACUUUGCAUUUUACAUAGAAAGCAGAAUAACUUGUGAAAUAAGUAAGAACUUCUCCAAUAUUCAUCUUCUUAAAAAAAUACUUCAGGAUAAUUAAUAUUGCUUGUCUCUUAUGAAAGAUACAGAAUAGGGCAAAUUACUGCAUCUGGGAGGGUACAGCAGGCAUAAGAAGAAAGAGUGUGUCAAUCUUAAACAUGUUCUCCCUGUGCUGUGGCUGCUUGGGAACCUAGAAGUGAUGGGUGCUCACUGGCUAAGGCUCCUACAAAAAUUCUUCAGAGAAAACCUUAAUGAGAAAAGGGAAAAAAUAUGUCCAAGCAGCCCCAUUCUUAUACUUUCAGCUGUGUGCUCCCAUGCUCCUCAGUUGUGGGUUGCCAGGCCCCCAUUUCUAUAAAUCUGCCUAAAAGUAGAAGGGCAAGACAGAGAAGUUGCAUAUCACUUAUGAUUAUAUGAGUAUAGGCCUUCAUGUGCAGGUAAUACUUCUAAAAGAAUGUAAAAUAUUAACUAAACAAAAAGGAGAAAAGGAAAAGCAUCACAAAGAAACCUACCACACAUUAUUGAAAUCUCCCUCUGUGAGAGGCUGAGGAUUCAAACGCAUAUGAAUCGUCUGCUCUUCCAUGUGACAGCAAUCCUUCUACUUCAGAGUUGCGCAGUCCUGGCUCUCAGUUGUCUACUUCAGAUUUUUUUUUAGUUGCAUAUUCUAAUAAAAUGUCUUAAAUAGAAGUUCCAUUAUUUGAAGACCAUAAAGUGGUUUUAGUGCAGUGGACUGCACCUACAUACACAGGCACCAGUAGAUAUUUUGGCGCAUCUUGCUGAAGAUAGCAUGAGACAGAGAUGAUGAUGACAAAAAUAAAAAAAAAAACAACCAACCAACCAAACUACAACGAAAAGAAAACCCACAAAUUUAAGCCUGCUAACUGUCUGAGACCUAAGAAAAGGGAUUUCUUUGUUCUUAUGAGAACAUCUUGGCUCGUUCUGCUCCUUUGGCUUGGUUUGGGGAGGAUGUAUUUUACAGUCCUCCCAUGAUACUUGGCAAAUGUAAAGCUGUCACGUUGGAUCCUGCUUCUCUUUGUAUUAAAAAAAUGUCUAUGGUGUUUAUGUUAUGGGGGGAAAAGUACUAUUUCUACUUAUUGUAUUUUCAUUGCCUCUUUUCUUAUGACUGUACUGUUUGCCAGCAGCCGAGGGGCCACUUUGAUGCUUGCUUUGAUGCCAUAGUUUAUUGUGUUGCACAGUUGAGCCUGUGGUUUUCCUUUCUAAUCAGAGCUGGCAUACUGGGUGAAAAAAAAUAAAAAUAAAGCUUUUCUAUAAUUAUGGUUAUCUCAUAGAGUCUGCAUUUGUUAUAGCUGCUGGGAUGCUGGAAAUUGGUAUUUGUAAAUACUGAUAUAUUCUGAUUUGUUUUCAAUCUCAAAGGUGUUUUUUGUCUGUUUCUGCUUCUCACCCCUGGCCACUCAUGCAAGCAGGCUUGCCGACCUGCAUGCUGAGCAGCUAUUGCCUCAGGAAGAUACCAGCCUGCAUGUGUUAGCCGGGUUAUUUGCAUGGUACAACCUUCAUCUUGUUCCCUCUUCUCACUCUAAGAGAUUAGCAUCCAAAGAAAACCAAAUUAAUCUUGUAUCAGUUCAUCCAGGAAAGUGAGUAGACAAAAUAACCAGAACAUUGCUGCUGACAGCAGGGACAGAGAGCAGCCCUCCGGGGUUGGGCUGUGCUGCGUGCAGCCCACCUCCACUGAACUGCUCUCACAGGUACAUGGCUUCACCAUGGGUUCUGGUAUAACAAGAGUCUCCUGUGCCCACAGAAAGACUCACUUGCUGGCUCCUUCUUUGCCCAGUUGUUCCAUGUGGUAGUGCCAGUCAGGACUUGUAUAAUACCCACUUGGAUGUAUCUAUUGCUUUUCUCCAUAUGUCUUGUGACCAUCAGAGGAACCACUCUGUUUCCAUUUUACUGAUGGAAAAGGAAAGACUUUGAGAGGCUGAGUGAUUUGUCCAGGAUGAUACAGCAAAUCAGCAGGAGAAAAAAGGAUCGGACCAUUCCACAUAGGAGUGCCAUUAACUGCCCCAUGGGCUUCCUGGGGAAGGCAUGCAGGUCCCCAAAGAGGCCGCUUCCAUUGCAGGAGCGUUCCUCCAUUAUUUCUGUCAGAUUAUUGCUAUGCAUAGUGGAGAAAUGCAAAAUGUAUUAUUCAUCUCUCCUACUCCUAAAAUCAAUACCUAUCAAAAUACAAAUACAAUUUAAAUCAAAGGGUACCUGUUGAGUGCAGGUCCUACUAAUUAGGUAUGAUUUUCCAACAAUUUCUUAAAUUAUUUAUCCAAGGGAUGGGUAGCAGGCAUUUUAUAUGUCCCAGAGUGAAUAUUAUAAACCUCUUGUCAUGAUACAGCAAAUGUGAAAUGUAGUGCGAUGCAGUGUGAUUUCUAACCUUGAUGAACUAAUGUAAUAUCAAUAGACAUCAAUCGUGCAAAAAAGAUCUGUCUCAUCAUAACAUCUAGCAAGAUAUGUCAAAAGUCAAUAAUCUUGUGAAAUGGACACAUAUCAGUGAAGGUUACAGACUGUGCUGCUAGGAAUCAAUUAAAAAUGUAACACCCACCUGCUACGGAAAUUACUAAACACCACCACCAAAAAGGAGGUUUACAUCAUGCAUGGACAUUCACCAUAAGAGCAGCUCCCUUCAGGCUGUCUGUAGCUCUGUAAGCAAUUCCACUGUAAUAUAGGGCCUUUUUUUUUUAUGCUGGUAUUGCUUAAUACCUAGCAAUAUCUAGCCCCAUAAUCAACACGCAAACAAAAUUUAACUACAUUUUUAAAACCUGCACAGAAAAGAGCCAAUGGUUUUGAAGAUUUUUAUGUACAAAUUUGGAAGCAGCUCUCCUGUAAAAUGAAAGGUUUACAAUUGUCAGUCAAUAACGUAGGUCAAUGUUCUUCAAUUUUUAAUCAUAAUGAUUUUUCUUAUGCAGCUGCAUUGGAUCUUAAUUUUCAUACUUAUACUUCCAUCCAUACAGCAGAUCUUAAGAUUCCAUCACACCAGCAUGCAUCAAGUGAAAAUUCUUGGUCCCAUGAAAUAGGCGUGAUAUCCUCUCACCAAAUCAUUUCAAAUCAGCGAUUCAAAAGAACAGUAUGAAAUACAAGAUAUGGUUUCUCCCCAAUUUUUAAAAGAGAAUGAUAAAAUUUACACUUUCUAAGCAUUUUACUUUUCCUCUUGUCAUCUGAUGAUAAUUUAAAGGCAAGUGUAGCCUUGAGGCCAAAACUAAAUAGUUGAACAUGGAGGGAGGUGCUGUGACUUCAAAGACAGCGAUAUGUGAGGGGCUGAAGUAAAACCAUCAGAGUAAUUCAGAGCUUAAACUUUUAACUUGGUGCUUUCCCCUGUAGCCUUAAUGGAGAUCAGGCUCCCAAAUAAGCCAUCAGGAGCCAGAGCAAAAAGCUGCAGUGGUCCAAAGUGCCUGUGUGCUUCAGCUGCUGCAGGCAGCCUGUGAUCAUACUGCACCGUCGGCAGUACGCAACUGCAAUUGUGCAACCAGGGAUGCAAGGCAGAGCUGUAAUUCCAAAUUUCAUGGCAUUUUAAAGCAUGAGUCAGAAUUUUAAUGGUAUUUCAACCUUCCUUAUUAGUUGCACAAUAAGCGUCUUUCAGCCAGUGUUCUGCAAAUCCCUUCCUGGUGGUCUGCAAAAGACACGGUUUGAAAGUCAGAGCGUUGGAGGUUGAAUGCUGGAUGUGUGGAAAUAGAUCAGCCUGAGCUGAUGGGAGGAAUAAGGGAUUCUGAAGAAGCAUUGAGUUAAGAUAACAUUGGAUAAUAAGGGUAGUAGCAAAAAGUAUAAAAAAGCAUGCCAUGAAUACAUUGGAUAUAGAGGAUAAAUUUGCCGUCAGUUAUUCAGCUGUCCUGCUCGUAUUUUUGUUGUUUUUUAAUUAGCAAAAGUUUGUCUGGCAGAGUUCAAUCUCAGAGUGUUUGAGUUAUAAAACCUAGCUGCAUCAGAUGAAAAUAGACAAUACUACAUUUAAUGUUUUUCAUUUUCUCAUUCCAUUUAACUGUGAAUGAGCUAUCAGGAAGGAGUAUCAAACAUGCAGAUACUGUUUAGUGGUAUAUUCUUCUUAUCUUCAUUAUUUUCUUUUGCCUAAUGUCUUUCAUAGAUGCUUAAAAAGUGCGUGAUGUAUAUGUGAUUGUAUUAGUGACUGCAAAGGUUACCUAAAUUAACAACAUGGACUAAUUUUGUUUUAAAUGGAGGGUAAGAGCACAUCUGUUUCAAACAGCUUUGUAAUAUGCCUUUUGUGAGUUCAGAUCAGAUACAGUAGUGGCCACUGAAGUGAGCUCCUAUACCACACAACUGCUUAUUUGCAUUAGUGCUAAAAAAUGCAUCUAUAAAAUGACACUAGCAUUUUGGUGCACUGAAAUAGGUUCCUCCUCUCCAUUCCCCUUGAAGAUUCAGCCCUGUGUUAUUGUUUCAUAGAUACUAAAGAAAAGCAUGUGUUCUUCCCCAUGGAGGAUGUGUUAUUCACUGUAUAACUGUACUGGCUAGAUAUUUUGUAUUUUGCUUGCACCCCCCUUCAAAAGAGGCAUGAAAUUUUUUCAUAGCUAUAACUAACACUGUUCUUCAGCCAUGAAUUGUUAUAAUUAUAUAACAUUAUGAAUAUAAUUGAAGUAAUAAAAGCAAAACAAGCAGUCUAGAUUAUAUAUCCGGAUUGUAUUCACAGGUUACAAGUGUGUGGUUUUGCUGUAUAUCACAUUGAUUUAGGAAGGGUAUAGUUUGGAAAUGAUCUUGAAAGACACCAGCUGAGGGGCUAUACCUUAUAUAUGAGCCUACGUCAAAUAGCUCACUUAAAUAGGGCAAUAUGCCUUUUUCCACAGAUGUGCUUUUCAAAGAUAGAGGUAUGGACAGCCUGCAGAUAUCUGCAGUGGGCAAACUGAAAGUAAACAAAUAGAAAUGUGUUUAUUUGACAAUUUUCUAAUGUAAAUGUUUUUGUAUUAAACUGCAGAAGGAUCAAAAAAAAGCUUUGCAGAAUAGCUUCUCCAUCAUGUAGCUAGGGUGGUAAAGGACUGCAGCAGUGCUGCCUUGGCCUCUGUUGAGGUGAAAUCUGUACUACACCUGUCAUGUGAAACUGGAAAAUGCAAUUAUAUUGGUUUUUCAAAGAGAAAGCUAAGACAUGGACAGAAACCACAGGUCUUCUCUGCAUACAUAAGGGAACUCUGUAAAAGCUGAGGGGUUGAAGAAAGCUGUGUGUAGGCCUUGGCUAAUGCCCUAAACCAUUAGACCAUCCUCACAAAAUCUGUGUUUCCAACUCUGUUUCCACUGAAAUCUGAAAGCAAACAUUAGCAGCCAAGAACAUCAUGCUAAUUAAUUGCCUCAGGAGGACACAAUUCCCAAGAUCUAAUGAAAGAUGGAAUCCAGUUCCCAUAUGUCCCAUUUGAUAGCCCAAGAAAACAUGCCCACAUUUUUCACAGAAACAGUGACAAAUGUCCAACUACUUGUCUCUAAGCUGAAUAUAACUAAUUACCAGGUCCAGAGAUGAAAAUGGCUGCUCAUCAGCACCAAGCCUGAAACGCUAGCCCCGGAUCUGUCACUGAUGAACCGUUUUGAUUCAGAGUGUUGAAGGCAUCUUCCGGAGGUGAGAGCUGAGCACCAGAGCACCUCUGUUCUGUCCACAGAACAGCAUUACCUCUGUCUUGCAUGCAGCUACCCUGUCAAAUUGCUGGUUUAUUAAAAAAAAAACAAAACAAAACCAAAAAAUCAAAAAAAGUUAGCAGGAUGUCAUGUUCUUGACAAAAUACUGGGGAGAAGAUAGAGGCAUCAGUAUAGAUGUAGUCACAGAUAUGUGCCGGGGCUGGUUUUUGCUGUGCUAUAGGCUUGUUCUUGCUUGAACUUGAAAUUCCUGUAGAUGGGAUGUUUAUUCCAGAAUGACAGUGGUGUGUAGCCCCAGAGAAACAACAAGGGCUGGAGAGCCUCGGCACUCCCUGGAGAGGCAGGCCUGUCUGUCUGUGGAAGCAGAGCCCUGUUUUGAAUGGGGGUGUCCUAUCUCCAUGUGGCUCUAAGGCAUGUGGAAUUGUUCAGCUGGCUUAAAGAGAUGAUGAUUCUUUUCAAUAUUUAUUGUUCGAAGGAUCCUUACAUGCACGAGAACAUCCUGUGCUCUGUAAAGACCGGCAUGCUGCUGUGGCUGUACCCACGGCUUGCUAUGUUCAGAGAGACACAGGUGUCAUCUCCAUGCAGGGGAAGAUGGUCCUACUUUGCUGGUGUGAGGUGUUUAGUGCAAUUCCCAGGUUUGUUUGAAUAAAGUUGAAUAAUCGGCUUGUUGUAGCAGACCCAACCCCACCACGUGAACAUCAUUCGCAUGUCACAGCAACAGUCCCAAUCCAGCUCCCUUGCUCAGAGGAUGGUAGGGAACAUCUCGAUGAUCACUGGGAGCCUCAGUGCAAACAGAGAAACAACAGGGUAAUGAGCAGGACUGUGACAGACCUUGGUGUCUAAUCCUGGUCUUUUGAGCCUCCCCUUAUCCACAUCAUUAGUAUUUGUUAAGUGGUCAAUUUUUGGAAACAUGCAACAUUUUCACUUUCCUCUUUUCCCUUUUAAAUAUGAUGCACAUGAAACUGCUAAUAUGAAAACAGUAUUUCAACACCUUGUUUAGUAAAAAUGGGCUCAAGGAAAGCAGGUACAAAUUGCACAGCAAAUUUUCAGCCUAAAUAUUAAAGAAAAUAUAUUUUAUUCUUGUCUAUCUUGAGAUUAAAGAGCAAGAAAAAAAAAUAGGGAGGUCAAGGUAAGUAAUUGUAGCACACCAUCUAUUGUGUAUUUCCUCAAGAUCUUUCCAGUCAUACAGAAUAAUGGCAUUUCUGAACUUCAAUAACUUCCAUGCAAAAAGGUACAUCAUUUUGACAGGACUCAGUAAAUCAUUUAAAAUCAUAAGGGCUACCAUUAUGCAGACUGUGUGAUAAAGUUAGAGACAGGGUAUUUUUCUGCAAUUGGUCUUCAAUUUCACUCUAGAUUUUCGGUGACAUAAAGCUCAAAAGGAGCUCCUGGUACUACUCUCCCAGAGAUGAGAUCAACACUUAUGAGUACAUGUUUUGAUGACACAGCUCAGAAAAUUGAAGGGAUUAUUAUUAUGGAAGGACCAAGGUGAUAAGUACUGUGUUAUAUAUGAAUAACUGUCAGUCAGACAAGCCAAGAAAGGUCAUAAUCCAUUAUAUUAAUGUCAUAAAUGUUACCAUAAACUGACAUUGGGAUGGUAAACUGGGAUUCUUGCACUUUUUAAAGUGUUGCCGUUCUUAGAUGAUACUGUGUCCUGUAAAGACAAGUUGAGUAUUAAUCUUUCUCUCAAAAUACAGGACUUUAAAGAUUUUCACCAUAACAGAAGUAGUAUUUCAAACAUUCAUAUUUUAUUUUAAAGAAACUGGCUGAAUUGUCACAACAGUAUGCAAGACACCAUGAACAGGUAAGGGAGGAGAAACCAGCAACACAACAAUUUCUAUUUACUGUCCCCCAUUGCUUUAUUUGAACUGUGGCUUUCACACCUGCCUCCCUCAGGCACUUCCAGGCCUCUUGCCCACAUACUGGGUUCUACUCCAGCUGAGGACAGGGGCAGCAGCAAGGCAGAGGUAGGAGCUCCUGCCCUGGCUGCUGACCACCUGAAGCCAGGACACUGCACCCUUCUUCAAAUCACUCCCCUGACAUUAAUAUUUUUUCCAAUAUCAAAUAUGAACUGAGGUGAUAUUCAGGAAUAUAUGACACUGGAAUGAGAGAGUGUAAAUCAUAUUUUAAAUCUUUUGUGUUGCUGAGCAUUUUCCCACCCACAGAGAGCAGGCAGCUCAAUGGAUGUCACCAGUGCAUGGCUCCUCUGAAUUCAUCCCAGGCUCCCAGAGUAUCACCGGGGACAGAGAAAGCAGCCUACUCUCUAAUGAGACUUUCUUCUUGCCAACACCACUGAGUGCUCCAUCCUUUGCUGACCAGUUAAGAGCCAGGACGAAAUUAUUGUCACCUCAUGUAAAUCUGCUCAUAGCGUAGACUCCCAAGUGAGAGUAAGGGAGGUGAACUCUGAGCCCAUCCAAAAUCAAAGUCUUGUGUCCACAUUCACUAGCACUACAAAUUCUACAAAUGAGUGGUAUCACCCUGAAAUGUGGGUGCAUUGGAGGUAAAAAACUACCCAGUUAGCACUGGACCACUUAGUUUUCAGUGUUGGGGGGGAAUGGAAAUGCAAGAGAAAUUUAAGGUGAGUUUUUACAUCCCACUCAGAGGCCAAAAGAGAAAAGCAGGGUAAGUACUUCUGGAAAGUGCCAUGCUGUAUUUACUGGCCACAUCAGAUCAGAGCAAUAGUUUUAUGUCAGACUUAAAAUGCAACAUGUCCAGCAGACUCAUGCUGAUGUAUGGUUGUGAUAACAUUGACGUAGGCAGGAGACAGCCACCAGUGAGUCACCACACCACUUCCUCCAGAAGCUGGCUGUCUACAGUAGGCAUCCCAUUGCACUGCUGAUCUAGUCUGGCUUGUACAGUCUACAAAUAAGCCGUGUUUGUGCUAUGCAGGUAAAUGUUCAGGGUGAAACCAAUAUGGGCUAACUUGAAUUGUAUAAAUAACUGCAAAUCAUUACCUCAAAUGAGAGCAUAAUGCCUGGAACCACAGGUAGGAAAAUACAUUUACAGACUAUCAAAUUACCUUGGGAUAAUAGUGUAAUGCUUUUCAAUGCUGCACUCUAUGUUCUUAUAGCUGAACAAAUAAUAUUACACAUGGAAAAGUCUCCAAAUUUCAAAGAGAAGAGAUUUCGUAAGCAGAGUGCUUCCACAGGAGAGACUGCCUUUUCUGUGUUAUUUUAGGGGAACAUUAAAAAAACCCCAACAAACCAAAUAAGUUAUUUUUUAUUACUUGGAGCUACAUAGAGUAGCAUCUGAUGAUAAACAAAACCUUUAGACAAUUUGUCUUUUUUAUAAUAUAACCUGCAAAGUGCUUCCUUGUUCAUAUGAGGUUACUUCUCUCUGUGAUUGCAACAAAACUCUUUUGAUCAAAUGUGUUUUCAGAACUGGCAAAACAAAAUCAAGCUGCUAUAGCAGUUUGCAUGUACAAGUUCUGUUUGAAUAUAAAAACUUUUGAGCACAUUUUUAGAGAAAAAAAAGUGGCCUUUGAAAUUUUGGAACUAAAGCUAUAUAUGUAUAUGCCAUAGUGCUAUUUAUGAUGUCUGUAGAAGUAUAUGACACCCAAAGUGCUUUUUGGAUGCUCCAAGGUAUAUCAAAGAGCAUUAACUCCAGCACAGCUGGGAAUGUUCCCAGAUUCACUUAUGAAUGCAUAUUUCUUAUAUCCUGUAUGUAGACUAUAGUUAACAUACAGAAAAAAGUUAAUAUAGCCUUGGUCAUGGAGAAUAAUCCACAGAGUAAGCCUAUUAGGUGAGUUUUAGCAUCUGCAUUUUUCUGUUCACAUCCGCUUGCCUGACAUAUGUAAUCUGCCUGGAUGUCACAGUUUACAUCCUAUUUUCAUUGGAGGAUAAUGAAACUUGCUUGGUGUCUUCAUCUCCUUCUCGGUCUCUCCAAGGAAUAUUUCUGCUUGUCAUCUCCUCCUCACCAGCACUCUCUGGUGAGAGUGAUCCUUAGCCAUCCUUUAUUAAAGGGUAGUGCAUCCAAGGCUUGAAGGAAACCAUACAAUUUCUCAUUGUUUGUGCAAAAUGGGUGCAAAACAUGUUACUUCUAACACAGUAAGAAAAUAAAAAGUGAUAUAGUAAUUUCCUAACCUGAAUUUUCUGUACUUCCUUUUCUCUCACAAUGCUCUGGCGUAUCACUAUUUUAGCAGCACUCAGUGGUUGCUUUCUGACGACUUAUGUUUCUCCUUAAGUCUUACAAAACUGCACUGUAGGCACCUCAGUAAUUUUAGAAUAGCUUAGUCUGAGAGGUAAAUUAAAAUUAUGGAAAAUCAGACUAUUUCUAAUGAGAUGGUUAUUACACUGAAUAAUGAUGAUUAUUAGUUCUGCUUAAUAAAACUGUCAUCCAAUGCAAAAUAUAUAUUAGGGGAAAUUACAUUACAUUAUAUUUCUAUCAACUCAGAAAUUCGGUGUGUUGCUUUCCCACAAACCAUGGGCAUAACGAAAUGUUAGACAGGGCUUCCUUUUCCAAAUAGGAUCGAUCAUGGAGCUUUCAGAAACAGCCCUUUAAAGCCCUGAUCUAAAGCCCAUUAAAUCUAAUGUUAUGAAGAUUUCUGCUGACUUCCGUGCCAUGUAAAUCAGAACUUCGCUAAAAUGAGCAGUGUUCUCUCCCAUUGUUUCUGCUAAAUACCUAGACAAUACUACAGUGGUGACUAUUUGACAGUAUUGUUAGCCUACCAAAGGAGACACACAUUUGUAGCCCCCUUGCCUCACUGAGCUCAUUGCUUGCUGGCACACCUGCUGUUCUGUUCUGAUGUACCUGGCAAAUUCGGAGAUGGACUCUAUAGGAUGAGCUACACUCUUUAUUUCCAAGGUGAAAACAGCAAGGAAUAUUAUCUAUUGGCUAAAAAUGAGAUCCUGCUGUAGAAACCUCAACACUGAAGCCCCAGACACUUAGAGGUGAGGCAACUCCCCAGAAGCCUUUUGGCUGUCCAGAGACACAACUGGCCAGGAAAUCUGAGUGCUCAGCAUUUUUUUGUUUAAAAGCAGGCACAAUAUCAAACCUUGCCUUCAGCAAGGACUGCUGUCCUGAGGGAUGAGACCCAUCCCUCUGGGAGGGUGGCUCCCUGCCUCUAUACUGCCACAUCUAUAUGGCAGUAAACUGCCAAAGGGGAAGGAAGGAGGGGGGAAGCCAAGAGUGUGUUUCUGCUACCACACCUUCUCUGUGUAGGGUUUAAUCUAAAAGGAUAUGUUUUUGUGGAAUAAUUUGAUAUAAACUAAGCCACAUUUUUCUUACAGAAAUUAUAGCUACAGCAGUGUAUUUUAUAGAGUCUAAGAGAGAUUAAAUAAGCAGCAAAAACUGCAUGACUCAAUAUGCAUCUAUGCAAACUGACCCAGUGAAACCAGGGCACAGAGGUGAUUGGGUCUAUCUCUGGUGCAUGUUGAAACCUGGAGAAACACAGAUCUUGCCAUAUAAUUUUAUUUUUUGAGAGCAGUAUUGCUCUUACAAAGAGCAAUGUAUUAAAUGAGGAUAACAUGGUUAAUAAGUCACAGCACAUGUAAUUCUAAGGUUUUCAUCAUGCUUUGAAACAUUUACUAAUCAACAAGAUUUCUCCUCUUGUGAAGGCUGUUUUGUAGAGUUCCAUAAACCAGGUUCAACAGACGCAAUUUCAUUAGCAUUAUAUUGUUGCCAUGGUAAUGUGGUACCAAUUCAAUUGAUGGGCUUUUCAUCCUGGGCUUAUUAUAGAAUUGCUCUUCCUGUCAAAGAUACAUCUAUAUGGAAACAGCAAACAGACCUUAUUAUUGGAGUACUAGCACAAAAUAUCAUCAUAUGCUAAUUUGGAUAGGAAUGUAUCACGUUAUUGGCACCAGACCCAGAAAUCAUCAGAGACACAAUAGAAGUUACUAAACAUUAUAUAUGGCAAAGUCACACUCCAAAAUCAGGAAAGUUACUUGUAUUGUUCGCUGUAGUACCUGAGCUUGCUAUUGCAAAAGCACUUGGCUCUGCUGUAAUCAUUCUCUGAAAUGCUCUUGGGAGGGCACAGUGCAAGUGGUAAUAUUAGAGGAAACAAAAGUAGUAACACGCCCAAGAAUAAAAUGUGAGCUGAUGGUAUGUUGGUCCUUCUCCUGUUUGAAUGUUGUGCAGCAUUUUUGGGGGAAAUUGGUACCACAUGCAACACCCUGUUUUCCUGGGCUGUAAAACCAUGAUGAUAAACCCUCUCCCCCUGUGCAGAGCACCUGGUGUACACCAAAUAAGGAGUGAUAGCUGGUACUGUUAAAUAUUGUUAUUAAGUAGCAAUAUUUUUAACAGCUCUGGGAAAAUACACUGUACAGAUCUACAGUUUGAGAAAUGCCACUGGGAGAAUCUGGAUUCACCCAGGGAAACACAGGAGAGUUAGCAGACUGUGCAUAUGUACCUAUGGAGGAAAGAUACUCACAUCAUUAAAAAUCAUGACAGUUUGUAGUUUUUUUAAAAAUAAAGAAUAUUUUAGGCUACAGGAGAAGUAUCUGCAGCAAUCUGAGCAAGAAGAGCAACAAUACAAUAUAAGGCAACAGCAGGGUGGCUUGUUUAUUGUAUGUUAAAACAUUUUCUUGUGUGUUUUCACUGUUUUUUUAUGAUUGCUUCCUAUUUAGAUAGGAAAAAUCUUUUUCAAUCCUGACACAUAAUGUUCAGUCUAUCGUUUCUUAGCUUAAUCAUGUUGUGUCCUUUGCAGUAGCAAGAGUAAAUUACAGACAGGAUAGUAUUCGGUAUAAUCAAAGAUGUGUUUCAUUUUACAUAAGUUUUGUCUGAUUUACAAAGGCAGUAUCUUCUCCAGCUGAGCAAGGAAAGAGAGACUUUCACUUGCUGAUAAAAAAACUCAGAGAAGAGGCUUUUCCUCCAUUAGGAACCUAUGGUUCAUACAAAGAAAACCCAAACUAUUGUUACCACUGUUAUCUAUUUAUUUACUUUUACCAUGAUAUAGCCACAGGACCCAGCUGAGACUGGGACCUACUUGUGCUAAGCACAGCAAAACCAUACAGCGCCACAGCCCCUUCUUCAGACAAUUUAUAAACUAAAGAGCCAUAAGAGAGACCAGAGAGGAUAGAAGAAUAGAGAGAGGGAGACAUAGCUUAAGUAACCGACCGAAGGUCAGAGAGGAAGUGAGUGGCAGAAACAGCACAAGUCUCUAGCCCCUGUACCCUUCAUUGGGUUGCCUGCCCUGUUGGGAGAAGGAGGUAUUUAGAGAUAUCCUCCACCAGAUUCUAAGGAUUCACACUCUAACUCAUGCACAGAGCCAUGCUUUACCCCCUAAUUUCAAUGGCUGCAUCUGUGUUGCUGAGCAGGGGCAGCCUGAGGCAAAGCUUGAAGUCCGCUGUGAAGCCCACCCGUAUUACCUAUUAAAACACCUUCAGGCUGGCUCCAGGGCAACCCUGUUAAUCCUCUCAGGGACAAAGGCUCAGGGAUACCCUAUGUUUUUUAAGCAUGUUCAAGGGCACCAGGGUCAGGGUACCUGCCAGAGAAAUAUUAAUGGCUUUCAACAGCACAACCGAAGCAAUAGGGAUCAGGCUUUCUUCCUCUGCGGUAGGGACUUUCAAAUCCAAGCCUGAACAGAUGGAGGGAGGCGGGGGAAAGAGAAGAGAUUUUGGUCACAAGAGCAAGAAGUCAGUUUACACCAGAAUUUGAAAGCUUUGAUCAGGAAGCAAUAUGAUGUCUUAGAUUAGGAAAGCAUUGGCUUGGAGUUUUUCUUGCUUUCUCCUUCUCUCUCUCCCCCUCUCAAAAAUCCAUAUAAUGUAAAACCGUUAAACUCUGGGUGAAGAGGCAUUCAUCUUCUGAUCGGUAAAUACUUCCUUUCACUGUGUGGUGUCUGCUGACUUUACUGCUGUUGCAGCCUUUUAAAAUGCUUCCAGGAAAUCUCAUUAGAUUUUAACUUUAAUUUUUUUUUCAUUAAGGAAUCUGAAGAGAGUGUAUAAUAAUCUCAAUUUAACUUUUUAAUAAAAACUGCAAAUAAUAGGCUAGCACAGAUUUGGUAUCAUAUAUAUAUUGGAUAAAAAUUCUGAUUUGUAGUAAGAUUUGUUAGCCAGGGGUUUGUUGUCAUCAUAAUAAUGAAUAUAAAAGCUGGCAGCUUUAAAAUGGCAAUAUUACAGUAAGCCUACAUUUUUUAUAAUGGCUUUGUGUUGUGCAUUCAGUAUUGAUGAAGACUAAGAUUUAGCACGCAGAAGUAAUAUCCAUCAUUAUGGGAUUGUCCACAGUGAAUUGAGUAGGACAUUUGCUUAAUUAAAAGUAUUUAUCUUAGAUGAUUUAACAAGUAUGUCCUACUACUGAACUGAUGAUGUAAAUUAGUUUCCUAUAAUCGGUUCACCACUGAUGACUCCUUAUACUAAAGAGAAGAAGAAAAAGGUAAGAGAAGAGUCAAAGGAAAGUAAAAGAUGCCACUGUCUGAGAAUUUAAUAGAACUUUGGAAAUAAUGAUUAAUUAACAGGAUGCCAUGAACAGGAAAUCUACAUUAUUACACCCCUAAUGCAAAGAACGUAAACAGAGCCCUAAAAGGGUGCACUUCUAGCAGAAAGUUUGGAAAUAAAAACAUAAACAAAUGCCCAGAUUCCCACUCCUACCCACUGGACCUGUGCCUCAGAGGCACUGGCAUUUAGGGAGCAGAGCUUGAGGAUAUGAGGUGGUAGAGAGCCUGGGGUGGGAUGAAGCCCUGUGGCAUGGUGUCUUGUGGAGUCUUGGCAGGGGCUGUCCCUGGCUUUGGGCAGGAUGCCAGGGAGCUGAACUACUGCAGCUGCCGAAUUUGGGUAGAGUGGAGAGCAAGGUCAGAGCUACAGGGAGGGCUGGAACUGGUGUGACCUGCUUCUAUGGGUGGUUUUAAAUCUGUUUAUAAAGACAUACUGGGUAGUUUUAUAAAAAUAUACUGUGUGGUUUAAUCUGUUAUGCAAACAUACUUUUAAAGGAGAGUCCCAUUGGGUGGAAUGUUUCAACCUAUCUCAAUGUUACAGCUGUACAGCCUAAGUUUCGUGGACUAGCCCAUCUUCCUUCCUUCUUCACCAUGCCAAAUCACCCAUGGAAAGCUGUAGAUCUUCAGUCUGUGGGGACAAUCUAACAACAGCAACUUCUGGGGGUGCUGCUACAAGGUAGGGCCACACCUAACCCUGUCAAACCAUCCCAUCAGCUCAGGUGUGCUGCUCACAUGAAAAGCUUGUGACUCCCACUGCAGAGACCUACUAGUCUGCUUCUUGGGAAACCUCCUGCCUGCAAGGCUGCCCCCUGAGACAACUAGACCCUCCAUCAGCCAGGCCCAAAAAUCACUUGCUGAAUAGUUUUGGCUGAGGUUUUUUGACAAAAUCUUCACAGACAGAGCCAAGAGGACGGGCAAGAAAUAUUUCUAUCCUUCAUGCCACAACUUGUUUUUUCAUUAUUUCUUCUUGUCUCCUUUUACACUCCAGGCAUUUUUUCUUUCUACAUAGGCUAAUAGGAAGAAAGGCUGUGCCCUACUCCAGUCAUUUAAUUUAAGUAAUUUUUUUUAGUUCUAAUUAUGAGCAUUCACAUAGCAAGUGACAUUUAUUGAUAUAUGUUACCUUUCUGAAACACUAGAAAAGUAUCUGGCCUGUUCUCUGCUAAUGCUUAGAUGACAUUUUAGGAACAGGAACCACCCUGCAAAGGACUGGACAUGUGCACAGGACAGGAGCUGUCAGUGAAGUGUGUUGAAUCUGGUUUUGAUCUGUUCAUGUAAUUUUCCAGGUGAGCCUUGGACUCUGCCUACGAUCUGUGCUCCCAGAUGUCAGCCUAUGACAGCAGAUGGAGGGACACCCGGAGCUCUGCUUCCCCCAGGCACUGCACUGGGCAUUUGCUGCUCCCAGAGCUGCCGCACGCCAUGGGACCCCCAGCUGCCGGAUGCCUGACCCAGCUCGACUGCUGGUGGAGAUGUGUUGGGGCUGGCUUUGCCCUGCUUGCUGCUGCCUGCAUGCCUUAUUCUUCUGACUUAUGCCCCAGCCCAUUCCCAUCCCAUUGUGCUGCUGCCUCUGGGCUGUAUUGAGUUUUCAAUUAUCACAAUAUACAAUGCAGAUGCUAUGUAAAACAGCCAGCAUCGCUGGAGCACGCUGAACUCAGUAGAAACACAGUUAAAUAAAAGUAAUACUAUAAUACCAGGAGGCUGAUUGGAACCACAAGAUACCAGUGUCAUAUCCUGUGGCUUUUAUGUUGGUAGACAUAGAUUUUAGCCAUUAGAGUCUAGCUAUCCAACAGAUAACAACCAGAGGAAAUGGGUCUGGGUAUCUUCAAUUGUGAAUAACUGAUACACAUUUGCCAAUAAAGGGAGGACUUGGUAAACUGCCAGAUGAAGAAAACAUUUGACAUACAUACAAAUAUAAUCAAGCAUUUAAUAUGGUGUAGCAUCUAACUAUGUGUAACUUAAAGAAACUCCCUGAUUACACACAAGAGAGCUCUGACUUCAGACAAGCAAUGUGUGGUUGCACUGUCAACUCCAAAUUCAGGCAAGGAGAUAAACAGCAAGUGUGGAUCUCAACUUAUAUAUUUGUACCAGCAGCAACAAGCUCCCAGAUGACAAUGAUAUUGUAAUAUCUAUGUGGGUGUAAAAUGCUAUGACAAAAGAGGAAGAAAUAAGAAAAAAUACAGUAAUGUCAAGUUUGCCUGUUAACUUUUACAGAAGCUCAGCAUCCGGAAUUUUAGUAUGUGUUAUGCAGACAAAUGUAAAGAGAGAAACGCAUUAACUGUGUUUUUCUCCAAAGCAAAAUGAAAUAAGCAUACAGAGCAAAUUAUUAUAUUUAGUACUCUCAGGGCAAAUUCUAGUUGAGGAUUGUGAAGUAAUUUCAAAAUAUUAAUGAAUUAGCCUCACAGCUAUCUUUCAGGUAGAUAAUAAUGAUAAUUGUUACUACAAAUAAAUAUUAUCAGUCUUGCUCCAAGAAAUGAACAUUGAUGCAUAGAGAAUUUAUGUCUUUGUCCAAAGUCUUUGUUUUACUACUGUAACCACCCUUCUCUAGAACUAUUAUAUAUUAAGAUUAUCCUUUUCCAAAUACUGUGUGUGACACUAUUCACUUUAUAAGGUCUAAAAACCAGCCAACUGAGCUUCCUUGUGAAACAGUGCCAGUGAACAUCUCCAUUUGCAUUUGAAUUCUCAAGCAGUGACAAUCUUGCUUUAAAAAAAAAAAAGAAGAAGAAAAAAGGAAUCAUGAAAAUCCGUACAAAAUCUGUCAAGGCCCCAUCUGUGACUGGGUAUCAGAAUAUCACUAAGAAGCUCUGAGAAACAAAGUUCAUUCCAAGUCUAACGCAUAGUGCUUUUCGGUCGAUGAAAUUAAUUCAAGCAGGGGUAAAUGAGGGCACAUACCAUGAAAAACUGUUCCUCCACUGAGGGUGGAAGGAAAGCAGCAUCACUGCUAUGUGUGUGGUCUUGGUUUUGGUGCAUGUAGCCAUCUUUAAAUACUAAAGGUUUUACAAGGCAAAAUAAUCAGUGUGCUCAUGACUCCUUUUGAUAGCCAGGUACACCUGCUGCUCUUCUGAGGAGUAUAAGGGAAUGAGUGAUCUCUGGUCCUGACAAGAUGAGGACUUAGAUUACAUAUGAUUGUUGCAAAAAGCAGGCUUUCAUAGCCAGCUACCUGAAGAAGUACAGAAACAAAACUCCACCCUGGCCUUGAAAAUCGCCUACAAACAUAUUUAUUUCCUUCUGGAUGGGAAUAUCUAAAGGUUAGAGACACUUAUUUGUAGGCUAUUUAUACAUCUCCUCUUCAGGACCUGAAUCUCGCAUAUUAAUGAAUUAACUCCGGGAAACAGGAGAACCAAAACAUUAACACCAUUCUAAUGCACCCUAUUAUUUUUCUUUUCCUUUUUUUAACCGUUAGAGUAUGCAAAUGUUCAGUUAACUGGUCCUCAUGUUUUCUCUUUAUUGAAUUGCUUUCACUACAGCAAAUAAAUAUUCAUAAAGAAAUGUGGACAAUAAAUCAUUUCAAAUAGUUCAAAGCCAUUUUCUUUCUAGACUGCAUAUAUUUUCAGCUGUAACUCGCCUUCAAUAUUUCAUUCAAAAGACAGACUUGUAGAAGGACAAUAGAGAUAAUGUGUCAAGUAGUAAUUAAAACAGGGAGUAAUGAUUAAAACCAUUUUGAUCUACAUUGUGCUCUGCCAGAUUCAUAUUCUCCUGUGUUUGUUAGGAUGGCUUUCUACUUGCUUUCUACUUUCUCUACUUUAGAAACUCAAAAUAAACUUCUGUUUGAAGACAUCGAAGAAAACAAAAGAUUUCAACCCUGAGCUUGUGGGUCUAGAGCCCUUUCCAGUUCUGGAGUUUAGGUAUAUCUUCUGUACCAUCCUAGCAAGAUAAAUGCAAGCAGGCACUAUCCCUCCUGCUGAUACUGGGAAGUAUCACUACUUCUCUGGGAAAUAAAUCCAGAUGCAGAGCAGAAGACAAGGAAGGGCCACCCGUGUGUACAGGUAAAUGUAACCCGUCUCACCAUUUAGAUUUAAGCUAAGAGCUUCAAAAGAAAUGAAAGUUAAAGAUAAGGUUAGCUUAUACGUUUAGGGGUCUUGGUUCAAAUCCAAGUAAGAAUUGUGUUCCUUGUCUCGUAUGUUUUGGUAUUCAUAAACAUAUUUGGCACAAACUCAUUCUCUUUUCUGAUUUGUUGCUGACUUUAGGCCCUUAUUCAACUUACAUACAGACUUAAAUAAAUCGAUUUAGGAAAGCAUUCCUCUUUGUGUUUAAUCUUGGGCAGACAUUCAACUUUGAAAUCAAUGAGACUUAUGAAUGGCCCUGACCUUUGGGUCUAAAUGGUUGCCAAAUCAGUGCACUGAUAGAAAUAUAUUGGAAAAGAUACUAUCCAUGUGUAAUCAAAAUUUUAGUCUCUACUUUCACAGGAAAAUAACCCAAAGAUAGCACAUUAUUUUGCUCAAGAAAUUAAUUUCAUAGUAUUUACUAGAAAGCCUUAAUUCACAUUUUCUGUUUAUGCCAAAAAUACCAGAUGAACAGUGUUGUUCCUUAAUAGCAUAUCUGUAAUAUUCUUUAAAUGAAAAAAUAAAAUAUAGGAAAAGUCCUGGCACAAAGCGGCAUUCAGAAUUACUUAUUGAUACCUUCUCAAUUGCCCACCACAAGCCAAUCCCUUGGAGGACAGGCAGAAGAAAGGCAAGGCAGUGUAGUUCUGAAAUCCCAUGGACUUGAAGACAAUGGCAUAUGGAAUACCACAUGAAACUCCUCCCUAAGAACAGCAUUUAUAAAGACUGCCUGCCCAGUUGUUUUUAUUACACAAUGAGAAUAGCUAGAAUAAAGACAUGGAUGUUUAUGGUAUCAUAAUGUACAGGUUAAACAAGUGCAAUUAUAGCCAAAUCUAUGAGAUUACAAGAAGUAAUUGGUAAAAUAAUUGAUGCUAUGAUUCUAUGAAAUAAAAUAGUCUUCUUAUUGUUCUUAAAAA